rnacentral:rRNA from 1 species
AAGACCUUGCGCUUUUGGAGCGGCCGAUGCCUGAUUAGCUUGUUGGUAAGGUGAAAGCUUACCAAGGCUUCGAUCAGUAGCUGGUCUGAGAGGACGGCCAGCCACACUGGGACUGAGACACGGCCCAGACUCCUACGGGAGGCAGCAGUGGGGAAUUUUGGACAAUGGGGGCAACCCUGAUCCAGCCAUGCCGCGUGAGUGAAGAAGGCCUUCGGGUUGUAAAGCUCUUUCAGCCGGAACGAAACGGUUACGGUUAAUACCCGUGACUACUGACGGUACCGGAAGAAGAAGCACCGGCUAACUACGUGCCAGCAGCCGCGGUAAUACGUAGGGUGCGAGCGUUAAUCGGAAUUACUGGGCGUAAAGCGUGCGCAGGUGGUUUUGUAAGUCAGAUGUGAAAGCCCCGGGCUCAACCUGGGAACU